CCGCCGCGCUGACGUCUGGAGGUGUAAGUUCAAGAGCUGCCAUUGGCCAGGCGCAGCUUGGCUCUUCCCCCUUCACUUCCCACCCCAGCAUCAGCCCAGACUCGGAAACUGAGGCCAAUUGGGAACCUGAAGAACCAGUUCCACCUGAGAGGCCUGAGGGAGAGACAGAAGCGCUGCCCUUGGGUGAUGGGCGACAAUCCAAUGCCCUGAGCUCCCAGCUUCAGCUCCAGCACCAUACCUUCCUGCCUGCUGCUGUGCUUCACCACGAUGAUGGCGGACCAGCCCUCUGAAACUGUGAGCAAGCCCCCAAUUAAAUGCUUUCUUUCAAACAUCGCCUUGGUUGUCUUGUCUCCUCGCAGCAACAGAACAGUAACUAGGAGGGAGGGUGAUGACUGCUAUGGUCACCUCAACCGACUGUAUUUGAUCGAUCUAAAACAUUCACACUGAGUAGCAUGGGUGUCCAUGUUAAGUACAUUGUGCUCAAGCUGACUGUAAUAUAAAGUCAAAAUUUACAAGACACCUAGCCUAGACUAUCAAAAUGUCAGUGUCCAGCUAGCAAGAUGUCUCAGUGGGCAAACUCACUGUUACUAAUGACCUGAAUUCAGUCCCUCUAGGUGCCUUCAUGUUAAAAGAGAACUGGCUCCCCCAAGUCGGCAUCAGAAUCUGGUGUGCAUGAAUGCACGCACCCACAUGUAUAUACACUUAUGCAUACCCACAGGCAGAAAUAAUUUUUUAAAGAUUUAUUUAUUUUAUUUAUAUGUUAGUACACUGUAGUUCUCUUCAAACACUUCAGAAGAGAGUAUCCCAUGAGAGCAUCCCAUUACAGAUGGUUGUGAGCCACCAUGUGGUUGCUGGGAAUUGAACUCAGGACCUCUGGAAGAGCAGUCAGUGCUCUCAACCACUGAGCCAUCUCUCCAGCCCCCAGAAAUGAUUUUUUAAAAAGCUUCAAUGUCAUGAAAAUAAAAGAGUAACUAUUUGAAUGAAACCCAAGGAGAGAGUAGAAAUAAAAAUGCUAAAUCUAUGAAUGUGGACUAUAUUAUGGUUGAAGAUGAUACAGUCAAUCUAGUAAUAUUAUGUUCCUGUAGGAGAAAAUGCAGGCAUGACCUAGCAGCCGGCCUGCCUGGCACACUGCACUUCUGAAUAAGAAGCAGGGCACACCAUGCUCCUGAAGCCAGAACACUGGAUCCAGCAUGAGUAGCAGGUAGCUGGCCUGCAGAUGAGUCUGCCUUCUCCAUGUCUCCUUUAAUGCGUGUCUUCUGCAUGGAGACCCCGAUGGCGGGAGUGCUCACUAGUCAGUCCAAGGUAAUGUGCCAACCAAUCACAGUCGGUAGCCUUCCACUGUGUAAGGACUUGUUCAGGAACAAUAAAGCAGACGCUGUCCCCUGAAAACUCCAGGCCCUCUACCAGUCCAUAAUGACAGUGUAUUUCCACUUCAGUAAACACUGGGAUCAGACCUUGAUAUCUGGACAUGGACUAAUGUUCUAAUUCUUUUUCGAAAACUUAGCAAUGGCAGCUAGAUACAACUUAAUGAUUUACUUCUUUUUUAUUUUUGUUUUUAUAUCAUACUUACCAUGAUUUUUUUAAAAUCAUCUCCUUGGACUCUGCUUAAUACUAAGUGAAAUUUACAUCUUAAUCUGUAGAAAAAUAAACAUUUCCAGAGAGUUAUGUUUUCCUGCCUAGGACCAGCCUCAGCUUGGAGAGGGGUUCUGAGAGAGGGGUGUUUGAGAGCAGUGAAAUGAACAACUCAAAGUCAAAUCGUGGUUACAUGCAGAUGGCCUAUGUUAUUCUCAAGAGCGCUUUCCAGAUUGCUCUCUCCAUGUUCUGCUUGCUCUGGAGCUCUCCAGACAGCUCUCUGCUCAAGCCAGCUUUUUUCUUUCUUUCUCUGUUUAUUUUUUCUUUAUUUCUUUUUUCUUUCUUUCUUUUAUUUAUUUAUUUUUCUUUUAUUGAAUUUUUUUGAUUUCCAUUUUGAAGGUUAUCCCCUUUCACGAUUUCCCCUCCAGAAACUCGAUAUCCCAUCCCUCUCCCCCUGCUUCUAUGUGGGUGCAUCCUCACCCAUUCACUCACCCACUCCCUUCCUCCUCCCUGCCCUGGAAUUCCCCUACACUGGGGCAUCGAGCCUUCACAGGACCAAGGGCUUCUCCUCCCAUUGAUGCCCAACAAGACCAACUUCUGUUAUAUAUGCAGAUGGAGCCGUAAGUCCUUCCAUGUGUGCUCUUUAGAUGGUGGUUUAGUCCCUCGGAGCUCUGUUUGAUUAGUGCUGUUCUUAGAGGGUUGCAAGCCCCUUCAGCUCCUUCAGUCCUUUCUUUAACUUCUCCACUGGGGACUCUGUUCUCAGUUCAAUAGUUGGCUGCGAGCAUCCGCCUCUGUAUUUGUCAGGCUCUGGCAGAGCCUCUCAGGAGACAGCUAUAUCAGGCUCCUGUCAGCAUGCACUUUUUGGCAUCUGCAGUAGUGUCUGGAUUUGGUGUCUGUAUAUGGAAUGGAUCCCCCGGUGGAGCAGUAUCUCUUAUAUUCUGUUGGUAAUGCUUGCAUCUAUGACUCCUGAUCUCUUUCCUAGGUUUUCUAUCUCCAGGGUUGUCUCCCUUUGUGAUUUCUUUAUUGUUUCUAUUUCCAUUUUUAGAUCCUGGAUGGUUUUGUUCAAUUCCUUCACCUGUUUGGUUGUGUUUUCCUAUAAUUCUUUAAAGGAUUUUUGUGUUUCCUCUUUAAGGACUUCUACCUGUUUACCUGUGUUGUCCUGUAUUUAUGUAAGGGAGUUAUUUAUGUCUUUAUUAAAGUCCUCUAACAUCAUCAUGAGUUCUGAUUUUAAAUCAAAAUCUUGCUUUUCCGGUGUGUUGGGAUAUCCAGGACUUGCUGUGAUUGGAGAACUGAGUUCUGAAGAUGCCAAGUGGCCUUGGUUUCUGUUGCUUAGGUUCUUGCAUUUGCAUCUCGCCAUCUGAUUAUCUCUGGUGUUGGCUGAUCUUGCUAUCUCUGACAGUGGCUUGACCCUCCUGUAAGUAUGUUUGUCAGUACUCCUGGGAGACCAACUCUCACCCAGCGGGAUCUGGGUACCAAGAGCUGUGGCACAGGGUCAGCUCCAGGUUCAGACAGAAACCAGAAGGAUACUGUCCCAGACUGCUCAUCUAUUCCUGUGUCCCAAGGGCUCCAGGUGGGUCCCUCAUAGCAGAAGUGGUGGUCCUACCUGAGUUCCCAGGUGUACUAGCACUCCUGGGAAACCAGCUCUCUUCUGGCGAGAUCUGGGCACAGAGAGCUGUGGACCAAGCCAACUUUUUUUCAAUUCUAAAAAACCAUCUGAUUAGCUCAUCUCUUGCAGAUCAGAUCACCCCCCCACCUCCUUUUUUUUUUUUUUACAUACCAAUUCAGUCUUUACCCAAGGUUUCCUUUUGAUUAUUCCAUGAAUCAGCAUUCCAUGACCUCCUUGAUUCUUAGAAAGAGACAGAAUGCACAAGCACAAGCACAAGCACAGACAACAAGAUAGUUGGGUGGGAUCCCGUACUGAAAUCUCCUUCCUUAGUUAUCUUCCUGACAAGCUGUCUCUGUUUCCUUUAGAUCUCUGGAGUUCCUUAUGUAAUUCAUAUUGCACCCUUAUAUUUUUCAUAAUUGAGAAAUUAUAUAUUUUCAAACUUAUGUUUUCAGUGUUCUUUCCCACAGCCUUAAAGUCCUGAAAGUGACAACAUUCUACCAUUUUUCUGAGACAUUAACCACACCCUCACCUUCUAGACUCUGAUUAUAUCUCUAAUUAUCAUGGAGUCAUUAACCUAAGCAGAGAGGACAAUUCUCAAAGGAGGAAAGUAAAAAUAUUUGCCCACAGCAACCAUCAAUAUUUGUUGAGACCCACAGCCUGUUGGGUCCAGGGGCAGGAAACAUGUUCCUUACAUAUGACCAAGAAGGACUAGGCAUUUUUUCAAUAAGUGUGGUGUCACUAUGUUAGUCUUGGUGUCCCUCAGCAAACACUGCAUUUUUCAAAAUAUUUUCACUCCUUUUUCCUAGUUAACUUACGCAUGGUAUCAGAAAGUUGGUAAUUCCUAGGCUAUAGAAAUGCAUGUUUGUUUUUUAUGUUUAGGCUAUUUUAGGUAAUAACUUACAUGAACAGGUUUCUAUAUAUGAGGUGAUAGUUGUAUUGCUGGAGUAGAGUUUCAGUGAGUAUACUGUUACCUUAAUGUGUUGUCAUAGUUAUGUUUUAUGUGGACUUUUGAAUAUACAUUUGUUGAAUUGGUCCUUACUUUUUUUUUUUUUUUUUUUUUUUUUAGGAUUCACUUAUUUUAUUUAUAUGAAUACACUGUAGUUGUCUUCAGACACACCAGAAGAGGGCAUCAGAUCCUGUUACAGAUGGUUGUGAGCCACCAUGUGGUUGCUGGGAAUUGAACUUAAGACCUCUAGAAGAGCAGCCAGUGCUCUUAACCGCUGAGCCAUCUCUCCAGCACCAGUCCUCAUUUUUAAAAUAGGAUUUUAUAUAAAAAUGAGAUUUCUCAUUUGUGUUUAGGGGAUGGAGAACUUUUUAAUCCUUCUCAAAUAGUAGUUAUUAUUUUAUUGUUUUUUUUUUCUGAGAAGCAAAAGAAUCCCUAAAUACUACAAAGAGCUACAAAUUUCUGCCAAGGAAAGUCAUAGAUUUACUCACAUAGAAAUACUCAUUUUUGUAUAGUUUGUUUCAUGUGACCAAAUUUAAAAGACAAGAAGAGGCAAUAAGGGGCACACCUAGAAUAGAAAGUUACUCUAUCUCCCGUAGUAGAUACCACAGUCUCUAACCUAUUCUAAAUGUGUGUCCUUAUGCCCAUAGGUAACUGUAGUGUUCACCCCUCAUUAAAGAAACUCUUCCUUGCAAUAUGCAUAACAGUUCUGAAAACCACAACCAAUCAAGCUGCAGUUAUAGAGCCAAGUUCCAAUGGACAUAUUUACAAAACAGCUCCUAAGCCAAGGCACAGGAAUCACUGUGGAAGGAGUAUCAAAACAAGACUAGAGUAAUGGAGUUUGUGAGAUUGUGUUUCCUAGGACUGUCCGAAGCUACACCCAUGAAGUCUCACUGAUGUGACCGACUCAACCUGAGCUGAACAAUGAUGACCCUAAUGGAGAUGCAAGUGUGGAAGGGGAACGCUCACACAACCUUAACACUACAGAAUUCUAUAGGAAAUUAAGGAAUGCUGAGAGCAGGAAAAAUGAUCUUGGAAUGACAAUUUGCUCAUAGGGAAAAACAAAAGGCCCAGGAUAAGUAAAACACUCCUGAAUAAAAAAUAAAAAGUAUCACCAUCCCAGAUCUCAAGUUGUGUUACAGAGCUGUAAUAAUACAAACAGCACGGCAUUAGCCUAUAAACAGACACCUUGUCCAAUGGAAUUAAAUUGCAGACUCAGACCUAAGUCCACACAUCUAUGAACACUGAUUUUUUUUUUUAAAGAAAGAUCCAAAAACAUACACUUAGAAAAAAGAAUCAUCAAAAAUGGUGCCGGGCAAAUUGAAUGACUGCAUGAAGAAGAAUGCAUAUAGAUUUCUAUUUGUCACCUUACACAAACCUCAACUCCAAAUGGAUCAAGGACCUCAACAUCAGGCCAGAUACCCCAAAUCUAAUAGAACAAAACACUGAUAGUACAAGCAACGAGAUCAGCAAUUGAUUAAUGGGAUCUCAUGAAACUGAAAAGCUUUUCUAUGUCAAGGCACAGAAUAGCAGACGACAAAAUGGGAAAAUAUCAUUACCAAUUACACAUCCAAUAGAGUGUUAAUGCCUUAAAUAUAUAAAGAGCUAAAAAGAUAAAAAUGAAUAAAUAAAAAACAACUGGACAUCCAGAAAGCAAAUAACCCGGUUUAAAAUGGAAUAAAAAACUGAACAGGGAGUUCCCAAAAGAUAAACCACAAAUGUCUGAGGAACUCUUAAGAAAUAAUUCAACUGGAAACCCUCACACAUCUCAGGCUAUUGACAGUUGCCCUCCGCAAACUGGUAGUAAGGCGCUGCUGCUGAAGGCAGCACUCAACACCCCCUACUGAACACGAAGAAGUCAAGCUGGUGCUAAUUAGAAGCUUCACUGUACUGAUGCAGACAGAUCUCUUCUGACUAAAGGCUACCUCUGAUAAACAGUUAUAUAUAAAAUGAAAACUCAGGUAAAUGUAUUGCAAGGUGGAGGUUUUUAAACCUGCCCAUCUGUACAAAUGUAUCUUUGAUAAAUAUACAGGUGUCAUUCGAUACACAUAUGUGAUCCUUGAUGCUAACACUCUUCAUACCCCAACUGCGGUGUUAUCUAGUGUGGGGCAGAGGAACAGAACUGAAAGAACUCAAUAGAGAUAUUGUUCAUCUUUCUAUGCACGUUGUAUUGCCUCACAGUGCUAAGACCUUUAGACAAUGUUUCCUCCUUUGGUGGGAGACUUAGGUGAAGCUGGAAAAGCAUCUAAGACACUGCUUUGACACAUAGUCUCGUAUCUGUAGAAGAAGGCAAAUCCUUUCUACAUUUACUUCCUCCUUAAAUGGAUGAAAAUCUGCAUUCAACUAUGUGUAAAUGUUCUUUUGCCUUGGAAGGUGAUCUCAAUGAAUGAAAACACUCUCAACGGUGAUGACAUCACUGACAAAAAUAAAUGCAUUUUACAGAUAAUGUGUUUGGUUCUCAAGACAGUAACGCUAAUUAAAAAUCCAUUUGCAUAUUAAUGCUGAUCUUGUCGUGGCCUCAAGAUCAUUCAAGAGCUGAGGCAAAGUUACUAUGGUUUCCGUUUAAUCAGCAGAAGUUCCUCAGAAGGCAAAAAGUAUUUUCCCAUAGCAGCACUGUUAAUCAUGUCUGUAAGGUCUAAAGUCCAGGCUGGGAAAUCUUAUUAAACCCAAAUACACCAAAUUAUAAUAUUAACAGUGGGUCUGCCCAAUAUAAAUGUUUGUAGUGUUACAGUGAGUCACUAGGUAACUCAAUAGGAAAGACAAGGGAGGGCUCUGGAUCAUUAAAAAAAAAAAAUGUGUUUUAGUCACCGUGCUAAAUAGUUGAUGCUCACUGAAUGUGGACGGAAUCAUCAUCAAAGAGAACAGCCUCACUUUCUAGGUAAUGGACCUGGAAUUUUGAAACACACAAACACACACCACACACACCUACACAGAUACCACACUCAAUAUACACAUACAUACCCAUACAUACAUUCACACCACACACUGCCAUUUUUUGAAACAAUGAAAAGAAAAUGCAUCUAGUAUAAAAAUAAAGACAUAAGUAAUAUUUUAAUUGUUUCAAGAACUAGAGUGCAAUAGAAAGCCAGUUCAAAGAGAUUCAAAGACAACACACAACAGAGGCAAGUCAGAGUGCUGAAACGAAUUUAACACGCAGAAUUAGUCAAACUCCAAAGGGAAAAACUUAGUCUCUCCUUCAUCAGCAGAAACAGUUUACAUUCCGAGCAGCUUAGCUCGACUCACAGAGCGAUAAGUAUCUUGGAAUCAGGGAGGGCACUGAUAAUGAGGUGAGAAGAGUCCACAGGCGAGGACACCUGUGCUAACUCAGAGUCCAUUUCCCUCUUCAUUCUUUCAAGUCCUUCACAAUGUUCCUUCCAUCUCAGCCCCUCGUCCUCACAUGUACAAAUGUGGAGUAUGACUUAGCUCGAUUGGUAGAGUACCUGCCUGGCAUACACAGGCCCUGGGAGCCUGGUGUGGUGGUGCCCACCUGUCCUCCCAGCGCUUGGAAUUGGAAGCAAGAUCAGAAGUUCAAGCUCAUCCUUGGCAGCACAGCAAAUCCAAGGCUAUGUGGGGACUCAGUGGAUUAAAGCGUUUACUGAGCAAACCAAUCCCCAGAACUGGUAGUGGAAGGAAGAGCUGACUCUGAAAGUUAUCCUCUGAUCUCCAUGUUCACACCACAGAACAUGGCACCUGCACUGACUCACAUCCUACACACACACAUUCUCUCAUAUAUACACAUGCAGACAUAAUACAUGCACACACAUACACUCAUACAUAUACAUACACAUACAUACAUAUAUACAUUCACACACAUACACAUACAUACAUACACAUACAAAUGUUCACAUACAUUCAUAUACACAUAUAUACAUACACACACACCACAAAUAAGUUCUUUUUUAAUUUGAAACCACACUGGGUUGCAUGAAAGCUUAUCACAAAAACAAAUAUCAAACUAUUCUUGAUCACACAAAAGACUGGCUUUAUUAAAUUUUUUGUAAUUAUUUAUACAAGGCCUGUUUUAUAAUAAAAUAUUUAAUGUUUUGUGUAGCUUAUAAAAAGCUGAAAGUGUUGGGGAUUUAGCUCAGUGGUAGAGCACUUGCCUAGCAAGCGCAAGGCCCUGGGUUCGGUCCCCAGCUCCGAAAAAAAGAAAAAAAAAAAAAAGCUGAAAGUCCCAUGACUUUCUUAAAGAAGUUAACAUAUAGUCUUAACACCUAUAACCCCAGUGCUCUAGGGUCACAGACAGGAAGGUCACUUGGACCAAUCCAAAAACAAAACAAGCUCCUUACAUUGGAUGCCACCCUGGACAUUGGUACCACAUAUAUAUAUAUAUAUAUAUAUAUAUAUAUAUAUAUAUAUAUAUAUAUAUAUAUAUAUAUAUAUAUACUUUCAAGUCUACAGGAAAUUAAACAAAGAUGGCCAUGAUAUUGUUAGGGGUUUUUGGUUUUGUUUCUUGAUGAGGUACAGAACGUGCCACCCCAAAAUGUAAUACUAUAACACACUGAAAAACUGAAGGUAUCUGAGAAGUUCCUCUGUCCUGCCUCAGGCAGUUCUCACCCAGAGCAGAUCUCAAGGCCCAAGUGAGAGGCAAGGAUUCUCCAACGUAAGGAAGGAAUAUCCUUCUCUCCAAAGACAAAAACUCCAAGUCAGAACUAAGUGGCCUGGCUAAGUUUCCCUGACUUGUGACCAUUAGAUCAUUGCCUUUGCUCUGUCAUAGUUCUUCAUUACCAACCUCUUCUUACCACCCCUACUGUGUGACAACAUUCAAAGCUUAAAGGUAGCUUUGGUUUUAUUUAGAGGACCACUUUGUUUCCCCCCACAAAGCCUCUCUUGUCGAAUAAAGCUUACAUCAACUAAUUUCCUGGGUUACUAUUGUUAUCAGUUGGUUCUCUCUUACUGGAGCCUAAGCCAUGGGACUUACAAGGAUAUAUAUUCCCUCCAGAACAGCACAAGCCUUGCCAGGACACAGCUGUACUUUACCUUGGUCUUGGCCCUGUUGUAAAAUCUAAAAUAUUGACCAUCUUAAAAUACUAGUCUUUAGCCAGGCACCUUUAAUUCCAGCACUCAGGAGGCAAAUACAGGCAGAUCUCUGAGUUCAAGGCCAGCCUGAUCUACAGGGUGAGUCCCAGGAAAGCCAGGGCUACACAGAGAAACUCUGUCUUGAAAAACAAACAAACCAAACCAAGAAAUACUAGUUUUUAAAGAAAAAUUUGUGAACACCAGUGUUAGUGAGCCACAUAGGACCUCUCUGGUUUGCUAUUCAAACAUUAGUGCUAAAUAUGUUUUAGCACAACACGAUGGGCAGGCGUGUAAGGAAUCUUGGACUGGAAUUCUAAAAGCUUCCUCAUUUGGCAUGUUGAGGCUAAGAGAUAAACUGUACAUCUCUACACCGUGUCACUUACGGCUGCUGGCUCACACCCUCAGUCCCAGUGCUCAGAGGGGCAGAGGUAGAGACAGGUAGGAGAUCUUGGAGUUUAUGUCCAACCUCAUCUAUAGAUCACAUUCCAGGCCAGACAUGGAAAUACUGAGACUGUGCCUCAAAUAAGUAAAUUCACAGCAGAUCUAUGGCAUAUCUAUACACUUUGGUAAUGUGUAUAUCAAGAUCUAUUUUGUAGAUCUUGUGUUAGUAAAGUCUCCUAGUUCGCUUUCUGACAUCACUUUCGCAGUGGUUCUCAACCUUCUUCAUGCUGUGAUCCUAAUACAAUACCUUGUGCUGUGGUGACUCCUACCAUAAAAUUACUUUUGUUGCUACUUCAUAUUUAUAAUUUUGCUACUGUUAUGAAUCAAGAGUCACAUAGCUGAUAUGCAGGAUAUCUGAUAUAUAUAUAUAUAUAUAUAUAUAUAUAUAUAUAUAUAUAUAUAUAUAUCCCUUUUGCAACCCACAGGUUGAGAAGCCCUGUCUUAGAGCCUAGGUCCCAAAAACUCAGCAAAAACCAAUACAACAACAAAACCACUUAUAACCAAGAAAACAAAAUAAAACACCAUCCAAUAAGAAAGAAAAACACCUACGUGUCACCAGAUAACACCUCCCCCCCACCAAGAAAAAACCAAACCUAUAAAAUGUUGUUCCUUCUGAACGUGAGACCUACCCUGGCCUCACUGAUAAAGGACAGUUUAGUUGUUAACCUUUACCCUCAUGGCUCGUUUUCAUUUGUUCAUCCAUUUUUGUAACAAAGUAAAAUAUAGUAAGGUAAGAGAAAAACUACUACAUCAAAGUUGGCAAACCAGCAAAAGGAAAAGAGACCAAGAGAAGGCAUGAGAAUCACAGAUCCACUUGUUUCCACAUUCAGGAAUCCCAUAAAAACACUAAACUAGAAGCCAAAAUAUAUGUGAGAGGGCCUGCUGGAGACUGUGUGGUUCCUGUGUGUGCUGCUUUCGUCGGGAAGUUCAUAUGAGUUUUACUUAUGUUGAUUCAAAGACUUUGUUUCCUCGGUGUCCUCCAUUCCCCUUGGCUCUUACACCCUUUCUGCCUCCUGUUCUGUGGCGUUCCCUGAGCUCUGUGGGGAGGUACUCGAUAGACACAUUCCAUUUGGGAAGUCUCUCACUCUCGGCUUAAUGUCUGGCUGUGGGUCUCUGUAUAUGUUCUCAUCUGCUGCAGGAGAAAGCUUCUCUGACAAUGGCAGAACAAGACACCACCUUAUAGCAGAAUAUCAUCAGGGUUCAUUUUAUCACUACGCUUUUCCUUUUUAAAAAAGUACCAGUAUUAAAUAUUUCAUUCUAUCCUAGGUCCCUGUGCUAUCUGGUCUCAAGUUCUUGGUCACCCAAGAGGUGUCAGGUAUGGGAACUAUGUCAUGGAUUUGACCUUAGGUUGGGUAUUCCCACAACCUUUAUGCCAACAUUAUCUUAGCAUAUCUUGCAGGCAGGAUGCCAUUGUGGAAUAAGGGUUUCUGGCUGGCUUGGUGUUUUAUGUUUUUUCUCUUUUGAUAGUGUGCAGAAUACCACUUGUGGCAAAGACACAAGAAUAUAGAAGUCUCUAUGUAGCCUCCUGCUUGACAUCUCCAUGUUCAAUGAGUUGUGUAGGCGUCGUCUUCAGCAUUGGGACCUCGAUGUCAGUGUUUGGAGAGCGACCUACAGUCUGCAACAGCAGAGAUUGUUUUGGGUUGUCUGUGGGGCCUCUCUGGCUAACAAAUCAAUUAGACUAAUCCAAUCCCAGUACUGGAAGCUUGGUUUGUCACAGGAGCUGGCCUGCUGGGACUCCGUCUCCCCCAGUAUUAGGCAACUUCACUUAGAUUGCCUUCAUGUUUGCAUAUAUUUUGGAAAUGUCUACUGUGCUAGGUCUCCAUACUACCCCUCAAAUGGCCCUUAAUACUAGGUGUCUCUUCCCAUAUUCUUUCUCACACCCUCUCUACCCCUCCUCGCUACUUCAUCUUCACAGUCUAUCUCUACACUUCCAUUCAUAUCUAUCUGUCCUAAUUCCCUUUCUUAAUAAGAGCUCUCCAUUCCCUCUAGUCCCUUACUCUGUAUCUACCCUCUGUUGUUCUAUGCACUGUAACUUGGUUAUUUGACACAGGAUCUGCGUUCUCAACUGGAAGCAAGGAUAUCUAGAAGGCGCAUAAUAAAAACACACAGGCUACUCUUUGGGUAUAAACUGACAGGCAAUUUCAAGGCUUAAACACUCUCUCUCUCUCUCUCCCUCUCUCUCUCUCUCUCUCUCUCUCUCCCUCAGCUCGAGGCUGUACACACUCUGCAUUCUCUUGUGCACUCUGCUUUUCUCGUUGUGCUAUUCUUUUCUCGAACUCCCACACUUAUGCACACCUCUGUUCAUUACCCUUUCAUUCUCACACACACUCUUCAUACACACCUCACACAUAUCUCUACAUGCACUCUCCUUUCACACACACACACAAUCUUCAUACACGCCUCACAUUCUCUCUCCACUCACUCUUCACAUGCUCUUCUCAUGCUCUCUCACUCGCUCUCACACUCCCUCUCACACUCGCUCACACAUUUGCUCCCACACCCAUUCCCUCAUGCACUCUCAUUCACUCUCUACCCUUUCUCUUGCCCCAGUCUUUUGUUCAUAAUCCAAAAGCAGGUAGAAAAAAAGGCAUUGUAUAAUCAUUGCCAAAUCAAAUUCAAAAGAAUAACCACAUCCCACAAAGAACUAAGAAUUACAAUUGUUCCCCAAAGUUUCAAGCUUCCCCUAUUCCCAGGCCUGUGGCCAAAAUAAUAAUAAUAAUUGCAAACUUAUCAUUAUUUAAACUUUUGACUUAUUAUACUUCAGAGCUCAAAGCUCCAAGGUCAGUUACUUGCAUUUUCCUGUGAAGCUCUAAUGAUAAAUGACAUGGGCAAAGCUGCCAGGCAGUGGCCAGACAGAAUCAAGUUAACCCUUAACUCAGUGGUUUCGAUAACUUUCUGUUCAUUGCACACAAUGACUCUCGUAACUGUCCCAGUAUUUUGACUUAGUUUUACUGGUAUAUAAUUGUAUAUAUUCUAUACUUCCUUAUCCAGGAACCACUCUCAAAUGUUAUGUAAAACUUAUUUCCUAAUUUCAAUAACUUUUUCCUUUCUUAGGGUCCCAAUGUUGGCUCUAAUUCAUUUUCUAAUAAUUUCUUUAAAGUUUCUUUGCAAGUCAGCAUUAAUCUGGAACUACCAUUGUGCAGUCAUUACAUUGUUUCCAAGAUGAGAACACACAACAUGUACCUGGGCCAUUAGGGCUGUGCUGUGCUGUGCCCCUAUGCUCAAUUUCCAAUUGUUUAAGAAUCAUUACAUCAAGGGACAUCUAGUUUCACAGAAUCCACCAGAGCAGAAGGAGAGAGAAGUAGGACAGUCAGAUAUAAUAGAAUAAUUAUGCACUCCAAGGCCAACUGAAAGGCAGUCAUGCACAAAUGAAAUCCAUGCAGCCGUUGUCCAGGGCUAAGGUUAGGGGAAAUGGGAACAACCAGUCUUUACAAAGAGCUGCUGUGGGCUACUGAGAUGUCUCCAUCCUGGCCUACUGCUGGCAGUCCCUGUCAUCGUAUGCUGUCCCAGCAGUUAUUAUUAACAGCAAAUAUAGACAUAUAAGCAAAUACACACCACGUUUAUCCUCAGAAUCUGGGAUACUUCAGGAUGAUUUUUACAAGUUCAAUCCGAUUUUCUGCAAAUUUCAUGACAUCAUUUUUUUAAACAGCUGAGUAAUACUCUGUUGUAGAAAUAUACUACAUUUUCUGCAUCCAUUCUCCCGCUUAGGGAUGUCUAGGUUGCUUUCAAUCCCGGCGAUUAUGACUAGAUCAGCAAUGAGCAUGCUUAAGCACACGACUUUGGGUCUACACCCAAGAGUUGGUAUAACUGGAUCCUGAGGUGUAGGGAGGUCCCUGUGCCCACUGUGCUUCAAGGACAUCAGGAACGUUAAGCAAGCAGGAUCAUCCUCCGAAAGGAGAGGAUAUAUAACCUAUUUUUCCAUCUAGAAGGCUGGGAGUUGUAAGUGAGUAACAGUCUGCUGAUCUGCAUUAUCUGAAGGGCUAGGCCAUAUCAAGCUCCCAGAACCAGGCCUGGAAAUGGCUAAUAGCCCAAAUGACCUUUAAAAUAUGUGUAUGACCAAGACCAUGUCAGAUCCCUCCCUAGGUCCUUAAGCUAAUGUUUAGUUUUGAACUGAUUUUGCCUCCUUAAGCACCAGGGAUUGUAUUACCCCAGAGAACUGUUUCUCGAACUAUAUUAUGUUUAAAUAUGCUGUCAAUAAACCAGCUGGCACCACACUCUGAAGUUUGAUACGGCCUUGCUGACUGAGUCAGGCCGAAGUGAGUUUUCAUUCUUGCCUCUUUGUGGAUGACUGUCUUGCUGCUAACCAUGAAGCUUGCAGGGAUACCUCAUACCUCAGACACAUCCUGAGGUAGAUCUAUUCCCGUCCUCAGGAAGCACUGACACAUUGGUUCCCAUAGUGGCUGUAAAAAUCUUCACUCCCACCAGCAAUGGAUGAGUUCUCUCACUCCACACCCUAGUCAGCAUUAGCUGUCACUUGUUCUGUUGAUCUUUACCAACAAGACAUGUACAAGGUGAAAUCUCAAAGUAGUUUUGAUUUGCAUUUCAGGGGUAGCCAGCAAUAUUGAACAUUGCCUCUUCUAACUGCCUUCCCUGUGUCCAAGUGUUUGGGUAUGUUGUGUUUUCAUUUCCAUUUAAUUAUAAUUUUUUUUUACUCCCUUCCUUUUUUUUAAGAUUUAUUUAUUUUUAUGUAUAUGAGUACACUGUAGCUGUUAGACACACCAGAAGGGGACAUUGGAUCCCAUUACAGAUGGUUGUGAGCUACCGUGUGGUUACUGGGAAUUGAACUCAGGACCUCUAGAAGAGCAGUCAGUCCUCUUAACCGCUGAGCCAUCUCUCCAGCCCUUGAAUCCCUUCUUGAUCCAUUUUUCCAGUUUUUAAUCUUUCCAUGGUAUAAUGGUUUGCAUAUACUUGGACCAAGGAGUGGAACUAUUAGAAGGUGUGGCCUUGUUGGAGGAAGUGUGUCACUGUGGGGGUGGGCUUGGAGACCCUCCUCCUAGCUGCCUGGGGAUGCUCAGUCUGUUCCUGGCUUCCUUCGGGUGAAGAUGUAGAACUCAGCUCCUCCUGCACCAUGCCUGCCUGGGUUCUGCCAUGAUCCUGACUUAAUGACAACAGACUGAACCUCUGAAUCUGUAAGCCAGCCCCAGUUAAAUGUUGUCCUUCAUAACACUUGCAUUGGUCAUGGUGUCUGUUCACAGCAGUAAAACCCUAACUAAGACACAUGGGUUUCCAUACUCUUUGUCGCUGCUACUGUUGUCUAUUUUUGAUAUCCAGUUCAAUUCAUGAGGUCCGAUAGAAUAAAGGCUGUUUUAAGGUUUUUAUAUCUUGUUUUUAAUUCAAGUAUGUGGUCAAUUUUGCAGAAAAUCCCAUGAGCUUUUAACAAGAAAGCAAAUUCUUUUGUGUCUGGGUGAAUUGUUCUGCAGAUAUCUUCCCAGACCUGUUUGAUUUAUGAUGUUAUUUAAUUCCAGCAUUUCUCUGUUUAAUUUUUUUUUCUGUGAAUGACCUUUCUGUUGGAGAGAGAAGGGUAUUAAAGUCACCUACUAUUACUCUGUGAAUGUGAAAAUGUGGUUUUAGCUGUAGUGAUUUUUCUUUUAUGAAUUGAGUAUUCUUAUGUUCAGGGCAUAAAUUGUAGUAUCCUCUUGGAUGUUUUUUCUUUAGUAAAUACGUGGUGUCUUCUGACCAUUUUUGGUUUGGUCUAUUUUGUCAGGUAGCAAAAUGGCCCCAUGGGCUUACUUCUCGGUGCCAUUUGCUUGGAAUGCCAUUUUCUAUCCUUUUACCUUGAGGUUACGUCUACCUUUGAUGGUGACAUAUGUUGAGACGUGUUUCUGGGAUGUGGAGGAAGGAUGGGUCAUGUUUUCUGAUGCGAUCUGUUUCUGUGUCUUUAUUGGGGAACUGACACCAUCAAUGUUGAGAGUUCUCAAUGAGCAGUUUUUAUUGAUUCCUGUUAUUUGAUUUUUGGGGGUGUAGUUUUCCCAUUUUUGAAUGACUGGUCGGGGAUUAUUUAUUCCUUGUAUUUCCUUGGCUGUGGUUAAUUCUUCAGAAUGAAAAUUUCCUCCUACUCCCUUCAGUAAAGCUAGAUUGAUGGAGAGAAAUUGCUUAAAUUUGGUUUUAAUCCUGGGUUUUAUUUUCUCUGUUGAUCAUGAUUGGUACUUUUUGUGCACACACAGUAUUCUGACUGACAUCUGUGUCUUUCAGAGUCUGUGGGACCCCCUGCUUAGGCUCCUCAGCUUUUAGAGUCUCCAUGGAGGAAUCGGGUGUUAUUCUAGUAGACCCGCCUUUAUACUACUUUGUCUUUUUCUCUUUUAGUUUUUAGUAUCUUUCUUUGUUGCGUACAUUUAGUGUUUUAUUAUGUGAUAUGGGGAAUUCUUUUCUGGUCCAGUCUAUGUGGUAUUCUGCAUGGUUCUUGUGCCUUGAUAGGCAUUUCCUUUAAGGUGGGAAAAUUUCUUUCUAUGAUUUUGUUAAUGUAUUUUCUGUGCUUUUCAUUUAGGCUUCUUUUUCUUCCUCUAUCCCUAUUAUUUGUAGAUUUAGUCUUUUCAUAGUGUUCUAGAUUUCCUAGGUAUGGUAUACCUAUUUGUUUGUUUGUUUGUUUGUUUGUUUGUUUGUUUUUUAAAGCUUAACAUUUUCUUUGAAUGGAAUGUCUGUAGAAGAAAUCCUUGUUAUUCAGUUUGGAAUGCUGUUUCAAAGAUAAGCACUAAGUUUAAUUGUAUCUCAAACCUCAUAAACUUAGAAUGAAUGAAGUUGAUGCUUUCAAAGUAGAUAAUAUCUAACUCCUCAUUUAUCCAAUUCUAAUUCAUCAGCAAGAAAGUAAAAUGUACUUGGGUACAAAAAUAUUAAGGAAUGUUAUUGAAAGGGAGGGGCUAUUUGACAGAAGUAACUACAGAAAUAAAAUAGGUUAUGUUAGAAACUAACAUAAGAACAUUGGUUUACUUUCUUUUCAUAGACCUUAAAGUACACUGAGUAAGAGAAUUUUACUUAAGUGCUUUAAAGAGAAUUCUAACAAGGUGCCUCAUAAAACAUGUAGGAAUCAGAGAUUUGCACAUGCCUGUAAUCUUAACGCUUAACACAUGGGCUCAUUGACAGCCAGUGAGAUGCCUCAUUGGUAAGAGAGCUUAAAACCUGCCAAACCAAACUUCAUCUCAGCACCGACAAGGUAGAUGGAGAGAACUGUCUUCUUUUUUUUUUUUUUUUUGGUUCUUUUUUUCGGAGCUGGGGACCGAACCCAGGGCCUUGCGCUUCCUAGGUAAGCGCUCUACCACUGAGCUAAAUCCCCAGCCCCGAAAACUGUCUUCUAAUCACCCCUCUCUCUCUCUCUCUCUCUUUCUCUCUCUCUCUCUCUCUCACGCACGCACGCACGCACACACACACACACACACACAGAAAGACAGAGAGACAAAGACAGAGACAACGGGAGACAGACAUAUAUAUGUGCAUGCACACACAAAUAAACAAAUGUAAAUUUUAAGUCAUAAUUUAAAAGAUAGAUUUAGGAAAAUCAAAACUCUGAGGCCUGCCUCAGCUACACUGCAAGUCUGAGACCACGUGAUCAACAUGAGAACCUGGCUCAAAAAACCAAACCAACAAAAAAAAGCAGAAAAACAAAACAAGCAAAACCAAGAAAUAUGCAGGAAGAAUAGUCAUACAGGAGCUAAUCCGCUCGCCUUUGGAGACACUGACAUCUACAAUAGGCCAUCAUCUCUGGCCCCACUUGGCUGGGAUUGGGACCCAUUAGGUUCUUCCCAGUGUUAGAUUUCACUGGCUCAACAAAGUCUUGUGCAUACCUACCCUAUUCUAUGUCCAGAGAACGGAGUCUCUCUCCGCACCAGGCUGCUCAAGGUUGUUAGAAGGCUGCCUCUAAGUCACCAGGGCUGGCACUAAGCUAGGCUACACCACAAGGACCUGCACUAUGUCAGGGGUGGACCAGUGUCUGUGCCAUAGCUGAUGGGAUCCUGGCUAUCAGCAGUUAGACAUUUAACGAGGAAGAAAACUGUAAGGGAAAAUGCCUUCACUUCCCAGAGGAGACGCUGCCGUUCCUCUAAAGACUCCUACUGAACCUUCAAUGUUCUUCUCUUUUCCUUUCAACUCUAACUCCUCAGAGGACCUUCUAGGAGCCUGGUCAACGAGCCUCUCUGAGUCAUUCUUUCAGGUGAUGAUGUAUAAUGUGCCUCAAGAUAGUGCAGAACUGAGCAUGCGCGGUAGUAGUUCCCGUCUACUCUGUCCCUUUUUCAAAAAGUGCCCUGAGCCCUUGAGCCGAAUGCAUCUAGAAACAACCUGUGUCUUCCAUCUUUUCUUCCUAAAUAUUUGAUCUAUGACCUUAAUCUGAGCAUGCUCAGAAAUCUGCUCAUCCUACUCGUACACCCUUCCUACAUGAACAGAAGAGAACCGCUAUCCAUGCUUUCUCUGCCCAGGGAGGACACGGACUGCGAAUAACCCCAGUGCUUUCCUUAUUUGCCCAAAGUAUUGGGUCUUUCCCUAUUCUUUCAUCUUCAGCUGUGUCCAUUGGCUUUGCACUCACCGAGAGGAAGUCCCAUUACAUUUGGUUCCCUUGGAGCGCAGUUUCUGGCUGAACCAGAGGCAAGUAUGGUGGCUUUAUCUUUAAAGCAACAGCACUGGGACAGCUGUGAUACCAGCGACUGAGAGAAGUGUGGUACAGACCGGUCCUUUGGAACAACGGCCAGCUUCCUACAGGACUUACAACACUGAGAGUGAAGGUAGCCUGUCCCCAAUCCUACUGACCAGCAUCAGGGGAAAGUCCUGUCUCUUGGCUUACAUAGUUCUAUCCCUUCACUUCACACCCAGGACCCCGGGGAUGAGGGUUACGUGCUCAGCUCCAGGUUUUGCUAUGGUAGGCCUGGUACUGAGAUUUAAGUCUAAGCCCUGGAUCCAAUUCUCUCUCCAGCUGCACGGAGUUGUAAGAGGGCCAUGUGGAGCUUCUUUCCUUCCUGCCUUCCUGCCUUCUUCAGUGAGUCUUUCUUUCCCUUUUUUUUUUUUCUUUUUUUCGGAGCUGGGGACCGAACCCAGGGUCUUGCGCUUGCUAGGCUACCACUGAGCUAAAUCCCCAACCCCGAGUCUUUCUUUCCUUCCUACUCACGAAACCCAGGCACCAUCGUCUCUUACCUGUCUUCCUUUCCUGCGACAGUGCACAAACGGCUGUGUAAAUUACAUGUCUGAGAGAGAACUGGCACAGAAUCCGACUUAGUCACCAUCUCACUCUGCUUCCAGGAAGAUUAUUGUUGUUGUUGUCGUCGUCGUCGUCGUUGUUAAGAAGGCUUACCUUUACCACUGAACACAGAAAUUCAGAUGCUCAUUGGUAUUAAAUAUCCCAGGGGAUAAGAGUAAGAGACCCAUGGGUCUGAUCUCCAACAUUUCGAUGCUUUCCUUCCAAAACCCUAAGUCUGCCAUUUUUUAUGAUGUGAAGUUUGUAUAUAAAUCUUUGUCUCUGGUAGAAUUAGGAGCUCAACAACUAAGAAUCUGCAGACAAGACAAUCUGUUAUUUCUCCUCCCCAGGCUAAUCUGUCUACUGUCUGCUGAGUUCCAGGCCCCAGUCACAGUGAGACAUCUUUUCCCAUAGGAAAAGGCUGUCAAAUUCUUCAGCACGUUCAUGCAUUUGAGCACGGUCCCGUGUUAACACACAAAACACAACUUGCUAGCAGGGCCUAUUUCUACAAUUUAGGUAGCAAAAAUGAACUUAUCACUGGGAAUAAAAGGCUCUACGGAGGAAAUAAAAGUGGAUACGUUUCAAGCUGUGCUUCCUAGUUUAUAGCACGGUACUCACUGAUUUUCUGUCAACAGCAGUCCAAGGUUCCAAGUUAAAGACAAAAUAACCUUGUCAAUUGUUUUAAGUGGAGAUAUUACAAAAUAUAAGUGCUGUACUAUUGAGAUGACAGUUUACGAGAAUAAUGACUCAAUUUAAUUGGACAAAAUUUAUGCAGUAUUUUAUGAACAAAUCAGAGUAGAGUUGUUUUAUUGAAUGGUUUAUUACGUAGUUAGUAUAGUCUCUAAAGACAGGAAAAGCUUCUACAGUUACAAAAUGAGAAGGAAUGUUUCUCUGAAUUACAGAGUCAAGUACACAGUGGGUACCACCUCAGCUCGGUGACUUAAGUCUCACAUCGGACAUAGAGAAGCACACAAAAGGAAAACGUCAGAAACAAGCGCACACAAACAAUGGAGAGGAGGAAAAGAAGGGCAGUGGGCGGAGUUAAAGCUGCCAGCGGUUCUGUGGACACAUGUGGGUGUCACAACAGCUGUGCUGGUGCCCCGUGAGGGGUGCGCCUCUGGCAAUGGAUUUGACCAGCUCUGUUAAACAUCAUUGGCAUUCUGAACGACAGUUUUGGUUUUUGGUUUUCAGGGUUUUUUUGUUUUUGUUUUUGUUUUUUUUGUUGUUUUGUUUUGUUUUUUUUAGUGCUGAAAACAUAUCUAUUUAGAAUUUUGUUAGCCACCAGGAGGCAGCUGAACAUACAACACGCACAGACAUACAUAUACACAUACAUACAUACACAUACAUACACACACAUAAAUACACAUAUAUACAUACACGCAUACACAUAUAUAUGCACACAUACAUACACACACAUACACACACACACAUAUAUAUAUACACACAUACAUACACAUACAUACACACACACUCACAGCCUCUUUCGGUCAGUCCUUACCAAGGUGUUGACUUUGGCCAUAUCAUUGUAGUAUCUGGUUCUUGCUAGCCUUCACACACACACACACACACACACACACACACACACACACACAGUGAACACAAGUGUGUCGUUGUCUUCUCUUUUCUUUGUGGUUGACUCAGUGGACAGGGAGAACGUGAUGGCGGCAUACUGGUUAAGCUUGCUUCUUUUCAGCACACUCUUAAGGGUACUUGGGGAGCCUCCAAGAACUGCAGGGUCUCGGGCAGCUAGAAGGUGGGCAGUGUUCAGAUCAUUUAUCUUUUGCAGCUGAGGAUACCUCUCAGCACAGCUAUCUUGGCUUUUGAAGCAAAGUGAAGUAAGACUCCUUCUAACGGUACAACAUUCAUUAUAGUGGCGAAUUCUCAUGCAUGAUUUGAGCAUACUGAGAAGCUGGCUCUGGAAGCAAGAUUUCACCUACUCCAUUUCAGAGUCAAGCUCGUUUGUCUUCCAGAGUCCUCAAAGGCCAUUUGUGUGAGGAUAAACUGCUCCUAUCACUAACAUUGUCACGGGGAAGAAGAGAACAAGGACAGCCCAAGAAUAAAAACAUCUUGUCCUUGGAGGGAAACUAUUGGCAACAGAUGUUAGUGUUUUCGUCCCACGACGCAAAAGUGCCUGCAGAGGGAAAGAGAAGCUGGAACUUCAGCCACAGAACGCUCAUCUGUGGCAAGAAAGCUCAACGGGGGAUUCCAGCUGCCUUAACUGUCCCAGUUGUGUUGGAUGUUCUGAUGGCUGGAUUUUAUUUGUCUGUCUGUCUGUCUAACAUUUAUUUGUACUGUGUAUCUAUCACUCACUAUUUUCUCUUACUUUGGCUUGCCAUAAACUCACUCAUUCAAACCCCCAAAGCUUCCACAACGCAUCCGUGGACUAAUGUAAAAAUCUCCAAGCAGCUCAACUGUGGCUGCUUUCCAUCUUCAGAAAUUCAGAAACAGGCAUUCAGGAGCUGCUUUUACUAAAGAAAAAAAAAAAAAAAACCUUGACUCCCUGCUCGGGCUACAAGGACGCUAAAUGCGUGAUAAAGCCUGGUGUCCCUGCCUUCAUUGCUUUCUGUCUUCUCUGCUUUGGGUCGCCUGUUUACCUCUGCACAUAGGCAUGUCAAUUCCUCAAGAAGUGUCUAACUGUUCAUCCUUUUUCAGGGCUGGAGGCUGAGAGGAAAGUCACUGUCUUAAUCAUGUGAAGUCACCUCAGACUUCGGAAACAGCAGAGCUUUAUAUCACAAAACCCUAGAUUACUCAGCAAACAGAAGCAGUCGUUUCUGGCAACCAGACUGAUGCCCCUACGUAAACAAGAAUCACUUUGCAUAAUCAAACUGGAAGUGGUGAUCAAGCUCUCCAAAGGACUGCUUAAUUGUGUGUACCUCUCUUUUUACUUAAACCUAAAUCUCCUGUAUGUACCCCAAAGGAUGGACUUGAGGUCACUGGGCCUCUUCAACUGUUCCUGUUCGCCACACGAGUGUAGUGAAUAAUUGACUGUGUUUCAGUGUUGCUUAUCUCUGUGGUUAGUGUAACAGGAAGUGUGGCUGGUUUAGCUUGUCAUGGCUACCGGGGCACACACUUGUACAUCAAACACGCCAAUUAUGGUCUGACUUCACAGAAAAGUAUAUAACAAAAAUCAUACACGUGUAGAGCCCAGGGAAUUAACGAUACAGCAUACAAGUGGGUGUUUUAUAAAUGUUUAAAACUAUGUUUAGAAACGUGUAGGUGCCUGUUGGAUGGGGAUGGGAGUCAGUGAACGAAUGAAAAGCUCUAGUUAAUUAAAAUCAUUUUGUUAUCUGAUAACAGUGUAAGAUUGGCCCCCUCCCCCGUGUGUGUGUGUGUGUGUGUGUGUGUGUGUGUGUGUGUGUGUGUGUGUGAUGUGUGUAGAUGCCUGUCUGUGGAAGGUCUGAAGUUACAGAUGGUGUGUGCUGUCUAGUCUGAGGCAAAUAUGAGUGACUAGAGACCAUGGCCCUGGGACAUAAUUCAAGUCGCCCCAAAUUCUAUGUUCUAACAUGGAAACCGCAUGAGCUUUUAUAGAGGUUGUGGAACUAAAAAAACACAUACAAGGCAUCUUCCAAGUCCAUUGGCUGUCAUUAUAUAGGUGGUUACAGUACAAGGGAAUCCCUCUGCUACAUUUUUAAAUGUUACAAGACACUGUCUGGAGCUUCAGUGUUGGUGGAAGCUGCUAGUCAAUGAGAUUGAUACUUCCGAAGGGUUUACCUGACAGAUGCAUGAAGGUUUCAUCAGACAGGGGACUAAUGUUAGCCCAGAAUGGUUUGGCUGUGAAUCUGCUACAUUCCAGCUCUCUAUAGUCAAGAAUUUCUAAUAAGUCAAUCAGCCUUGUAGAAUAUACAAAGUGUUAUCUUUUUUUCUGGGAACUUUACUUAACAAGUUUCUUCUUGUUGUUGUUUCGUAGUUGUCUAACUUAGAGUUACUAUUGCUGGAACAAAAUAACAUGACCAAAAGUAAUUUGGAGAGGAAAGGUUUAUAUCACUCACAGUUCCAUAAAACAUCUUAUCAAGAACAGAGAGGAGGACAGGAAUUCGUGAAGGGCGGGAACCUUGCUUUGCAUGGCUAGCCCAGCCUGUUUUCUUAUAGAGUCAGCACAGGGAUGGCUCUAUCCACAGUGGGAUGGGCCCUCCUCCCAGUCAGUCACUGAAUAAGAAAAUGCUCUACAGCUAGAUCUUGUGGAGGAAAGUUCUCAACGGGGAUUCCCUCCUCUGAGAUGACGCUAGCCUGUGUCAAGUUGACAUAGAUUAGCCAGCACAGUGGCAUUAGUGAUAGAAUCAGGAGCAAGUGCUUUUACCACUAACCCCUCUUCCUGAGAUUUCUCAUUUACGUAAAACAAAUACAGAUUGUUUAAAUGUCCCGACUUAAAUAAAUUUAGCUCAUCAGUGUCUCUUAUUGUCCUUUGAGAUUAGAAAUGAAAUUUCAGUCUUAUGGUUUUUGACAUUAUUGUUACACCCACCUGCUCCUCCAUUUCACAUUUUUAUUAGUUUAUGACAGUAACUGUGCACACCAAAUUUUCAAUUAUUAAAACAUUUUCUCCCAUAAAUUAUCGUUUUCUAUCAAACCUCUGUAUGGAAAUUAUUUGUAACUAAUUUUACUAAUUAAGGAAAUAUAAGAGGAGAGUGAUGUGAUAAUUGGUAUAUUGGAAAUUAUCCUUAUUAAUCUUACUGUUAAAAGACAGCCGUCAAUAAAAUGUUACAGUUAUGUUCACAGAAGGAACACAAUAUGAGGAACAUUACAUAAGAAUUAAAGGGUUGCAGCAUUAGGAAGAUUGGGUAUCGUUAUGCUAAGUAGAAUUGGAAAUUUUUCUCCGUCCUUACUAUCUUCCUUCCUGUUUGGUCAAGUUUCUCAUCAGUAAGACUCUUACUUGUAGUACGAGUCCAUUUAGGUCAGAUUAGUUGGAAUCUCCUUGUGUUUUGUGUUACUAAUUUCUAUCCAGGGUCUCCUUAAUCUAUUCAUAAAUGCCCUUCAUGAAUGCUCAUAAGUAAGUCUUUGCUGCAUUCUCUUUCCUGGUGUAUUACCCCUGUUGCAACAGUCUUCAAUAAGCUCGUCCACACGCUUUUAUCACGUGUCAGAAGAGCAUUUUCUUACCAUCUACCAGAGAGGAAUACGCAUGUUUUUCUCUAUGUACAUUAAGGCUCUGUAAGAAAAGAAUGGUUAGCAGAAGAAAAUUCACAUAAAGGUGCAUUGUUUCCCGUGAAUUGGGAGAUGAAGGGCCAGAAAGACAGAAUAAUCUGAAUAAUUUUAAAGCACACUGAUGAGAAACAGAGUUAAGAGCAGUGUGGGCAUACGCUAAACCAUAGUGGGCUAGAGUAAGAGGACAGUGGGCAUGCGCUAAACUGUCGUGAGUUAGAGUAAGAGGACAGUGGGCAUGCGCUAACCAUAGUGGGCUAGAGUAAGAGCAGUGUGGACAUGCACUAAACCAUAGUGGGCUAAAAUAAGAGCAGAGUGGACAUGCGCUAAACCGUAGUGGGCUAGAAUAAAAGUAGAGUGGGCCUGCGCUAAACCGUGGUGGGCUGGAUUAGAGCAGAGUGGGCAUGCGCUAAAUCGUCAUACAUUAAAGGAACCUUAGGGAAGCCAGCUGUUUUAGAGUCCUGUUUUACAUACAGCCAUCGUCACUGGCAAGAUUGUUCUAGUAUUCUACUGUUGAUCAAUCCAACCUCAUAAACUUCAAAAGUGAAAGGGACUAUUGGGUAUUUUAUGAUUCAAAAUUCAGGAAACAGAUUUUGUGUUUUUAGGUCUUGGGUGUCUGUGUGUCCUUGUUUCUUGUAAUUUUCUUUUUAUUAUGGUUUGCUUGUUUGCCUGUGUCUUUUUAAAGGAAGAGAGAAAGCAUGGAGUUGGAUGAGUGGGUGGGUAGGUGGCUAGGAGGAUCUGAGACAGGACAAACCGUAAUCGGAAUACAUUGUAUGAAAAAAGUUAUUUUCAAUGAAAUAUAUGAAGACCAAAAAAAUUCAGGAAACAGAUUUAAGUCUGUGCUCCAAAGAAGGCAGGGGACUGGGGGCUACAAUUGAGCAGUCAGUGUUGACUUAUUUCAAGACACUAAUCAUUCUUUUGUGGGGAAACGUCUACUGCUGUCGAGAACAGGCAUGGCUUGACAGGAGCUAUGUGACUGAUAAGGAAAAACUCCCACAUACACUCAGUAAAAUUAUCCGUGAAACCAGAGUCCAGGAACACGUCUUACCAUUCCGAACAUAAAUCACGCCUAAUUAUACACUCACGAACCUCGUGGGAAAGGCUUUUUCCAUGUUGCCUUCAUCCAGAUUCCCCCUUUUCUUUCAGGAUAUGGGGGAGGCACCUCUCAAAUGAAAGUCAUGGGACUUUGCUCAGGGGAGGAGCAGGUAAACCCUUCUUAUCUUAUGUAUAUGAGUACACUGUAGCUGUCUUCAGACACACCAGAAGAGAACAUCGGAUCCCAUUACAGAUGGUUGUGAGCCACCCUGUGGUUGCUGGGAAUUGAACUCAGGACCUCUGGAACCACUGAGCCAUCUCUCCAAGGCACUGAGGAGUUGGUGUGUGAGGAUCAGUGAGCAGUUUUCAUUCCCAUCCUGCCAUCAUUGGUCCGCACAUCUCUAAAUGCUGCUUUCUAGCUUCCUUUGCUCUCUCCGUUCUGCUCACUGCAAUUGAUGACUGCUGUCGCUUCUGUCCUGAAGCUGUAAAUACAGUAUGCACUCCUAAAUAUUCUUUAGAUCUUAUUUUUAAAAAAAUCAGUUAAAUCUGAGGAAAAAGUAACACUGACUUCUGUGAAAGUGUUAGAACUCUCAGGGUGGCACAUAGGAGACGAGAGGCUGCCUGGAUGGCGAUUCUUCACUUGACAGUAAUAACGGGGAGGCAUGGACAGUUUACCCUAAUGCAGCAGUCUCAACCUGUGGCUGGAAACACCUUCAGGAUCAAAGGAUCCUUCAACGGGGGUCCUCUAAGAACAUUGGAAAACACUGGUAUUUACAUUACCAUUGAUAACAGUAACAAAAUUACAAUUAUGAAGUAGCAAUGAAAAUCUUUUCCGGGAUGGGGGGGGGGGUCACCACAACAUGAGGAGCUGUAUCAAAGGGCCACGGCAUCAGGAAGGAUGAGAACUUCUGCUCUGAAGGGAGCAAGGAUAAAGGACACAUUAGAGAAAGACAAGUAGGACAGAUGCUGCAGAAAACCAGAGAAGAGACGAAGGUACUCCAGCAGAGGCAGGCAGAGAGAUCUUGCCUCCUCCAAAGAAUGGAGCGGCAGUGUGUGUGUGUGUUGAAGGAUGAAAAGGAUAAUGACCACAGUUAAUCUUUCUUAAUUAAAGCUCUUCAGUGGUGCACACAGCUAUGGUCUGAGGCUGCAGGGAUAGAUGAAUUGAAUUCAAAGUAAGUGAACUCUUGAAUGAUGCCUGGGGUUCCAGUGGUAGAUAUGCAAAUUUUAGCAUAUCUACCAAAAUUUGUCCACUGGAAAAAUUGCUAUGUAAAAAGCACUAUUUUUCCUAUACAUCAUAUAUAUGUAUAUAUAUAUUCCUAUAUAUCAUACACACAUACCUAUAUAUAUUUAUAUAUAUACAUAUAUACAUGUAUAUAUAUAUGUAUCCUACAUCACAUUUUUUCAGCCUAGUAUUUCCAUGCUGUUGAGCCUUACAGGCAGUGACUACCUACAAGCACUUUGAGAGAGAGAGAGAGAGAGAGAGAGAGAGAGAGAGAGAGAGAAAGGAGAAGAGGAGAGAAGAGAAGAGAAGAGAAGAGAAGAGAAGAGAAGAGAAGAGAAGAGAAGAGAAGAGAAGAGAAGAGAAGAGAAGAAACUCAGUGCAGACAUUGGUCCAUCUUUUGUGUGGUGGAGGAGCUGCAGGAUCAAAUAGGAAAGGACAACAAGGACGCCUUUUCAAAGACUUCUGCUCAAACUGGCUUCAUGGUCAGGUCGUGGCUGGUUCCUUGGAGUCAGAUUAACAGGAUGAACCUGAAAGGUUCACUGCUAGGGAUAGGGAAUAGGGUACUGGUGCCUAUUGUGAGGUAAUUGAUUCUGCAUGGGUACUGGCCCAGUUCUGGGCAAGGGGUGCUAUAGCUACAAGGCUCACUGUUGCUAGAAUCUUGAAAAUAUCCCAGUUACUCUGGAGGAAUUUCAAAGACGACCAAGAAAAGUUAAGUAAAUUUAAGGCUAAUAGACCUUAUAUCAGCAGUUUAAGAUCAACACUUCUUAAAUGAUUAAUAUGUGUUGGCGUAGAAUAGAUAAGGCAUUUGGACCAAAGUUUGAGGCAAUCAGAGAGACGUGUAACCUGGAGACACAGACACACGAAGCUUCUGUUCUGCUUCCUCUAUCCCCACCACCUUCAAUCCCAAGUGAAGAUCGGUGCGUUUAAAAUCAGAAGAUACUUGAGUUCUUAAAAUGCUAUUUUAAAGACA